UGGAUAUGGUAUUUAAUAUAAUGUUACACAGGUUUAUCGUGUCAGGAUUGUAAAAUAGCAGCAUAAAACAUUCGUGUAAAUUAGUAUUAAAUCUAUAUCU
rnacentral:SRP_RNA from 1 species